GUCUGGGGAACUUGAGAACACACGCUGGGACCAGGAAAAGAGGGAGUAUCUGAGGCUGAAGAGGGAGCAGGUGCUAAAAUGACACAUACAAUGCAGACACCUAUGAAGAUCACAGCUGCUAAAUGCUUAAUGAGCCGUCCACAGUCUUAUGACAAAUGCGACAGAUGAGAACUUCGGUAGGAGACGGUAGGAGGGAAGCAAACAGAUGAAGGGCGGUCCAGCCACGUACUAGGUUUUUUGCAAUAGGAAAUGUCUUCUACUGAGAGUGACAACAGCUGCAUCAACCCCGAGAGAUACAGUGUACAGCGCCUUUUGAAAUCCAAGUGCCGCUUGUCUUGAUCUUUUCACUUUGCUUUCUGACAUACAAAUAAGCUUAAAUUGUUGCCCAAAGAGAAGACUUUGUAGAAUGGUCUGAUGGGUUUAUUGAACUUUAUGAAAUUGAUAGAAACAGGAGAGAAAAUAAUAUACAUCAUGUGUUGUGAUGAUUUAAAUAAUAAAAACAUUUUACACAGCUAUUGAAAAAAGUCUCACAAAAAAUGUUGUACCAAAGUGCUUUACACAAGAGGAGUGAUUUACACUUGUGCUUUAUAUGUACUCAAUAAAAUGUACAUAUACAGAACAAACAGUAACAACCG